rnacentral:rRNA from 1 species
UACGUAGGGGGCAAGCGUUGUCCGGAUUUAUUGGGCGUAAAGAGCGUGUAGGCGGCCAAACAGGUCAGCUGUGAAAACUCGAGGCUCAACCUCGAGACGUCGGUUGAAACCGUUUGGCUAGAGUCCGGAAGAGGAGAGUGGAAUUCCCGGUGUAGCGGUGAAAUGCGCAGAUAUCGGGAAGAACACCCGUGGCGAAGGCGGCUCUCUGGGACGGUACUGACGCUGAGACGCGAAAGCGUGGGGGAGCGA